CUCCUGUCAGCUCCCUUCUCUCUCCUCCGGUCUGGUCAGCUCCCCUGUCAGCUCCCACUGUAAGACCGCGAGACUUGCAGUGGAGCUGACAGGGGAGCUGACCAGACCGGAGGAGAGAGAAGGGAGCUGACAGGAG